GACGAACGCUGGCGGCGUGCUUAACACAUGCAAGUCGAACGGAAAGGCCCUGCUUUUGUGGGUUGCUCGAGUGGCGAACGGGUGAGUAUCACGUGAGUAACCUGCCCUUGACUUUGGGGUAACAUCAGGAAACUGGGGCUAAUACCGGAUAGGAGCUCCUGCUGCAUGUUGGGGGUUGGAAAGUUUCGGCGGUGGGGGAUGGACUGGCGGCUUAUCAGCUUGUUGGUGGGGUAGUGGCUUACCAAGGUUUUGACGGAUAGCCGGCCUGGGAGGGGGACCGGGCACGUUAGGACUGAGAUACGGCGCAGACUCCUACGGGAGGCAGCAGUCGGGAGUAUGGCACAGUGGGCGGAAGCCUGAUGCAGCAACGCCGCGUGCGGGAUGACGGGUUUCGGGUUAUAAACCGCUUUCGCCGGUGACGAAGCGUGAGUGACGGUAAUGGGUAAAGAAGCACCGGCUAACUACGUG
rnacentral:rRNA from 1 species